rnacentral:lncRNA from 1 species
CUUCAUUAAUUUAACUGAUAAAGUCUUCUGUUUUCCUUAAAAAAGAAAAUAUUAACUCUAUAUGGCAUGUGAAUAUGCACAAUAUAAUGUAUUAUUUAUUGACUAAACUAUCUCAAAUGAGAGAACAUGAUGUAUGUGUCCCAAGCAGGUGAUAAUCCUCACAUUUUAACCAAUUUUAACAAACCUUAGGUUAAACAUAGGUAAUAAAACAUAGUUAAAACUCUGUCAUCCCACAAUAUUGACAUGAAAGUUCUUUAUAUCAGGGAAUCAGGGCUUCCCAAGCAAGAGAAAUGGCUUGAUGCAGCAACGAUUUUGAGGAAUGUUGGUUUGGCAGUAGGUUACAGAUCCGAAUGGAGAUGCCUGAGACACUCCACUCAGGAAUCCAGUUAGGGAUUUCUUUGGUACUGAGAGGUGAGUAAAUAAGAUGCUAAAAUAUGGUGGCAUCAGUGAACACAAGGAUUAAACAGCUAAGAGUGAAGUGUAAAAUGUUAAGUUGAAUAAGCGGCUUUAGGGCAUUACUGGCCAGUGGGUUUUUUCUUCCUAACUUUUCUUGCUCUUUAUUUGUCUCUUCUCCCUUCAGGGCUGGCACUGUGUCUGGGCAAACACAUACAGUGGGUGAAGUUUGUGGUGUCCCUAGCCCGACUUAAUGCAAUCUUAUCCUUUCAAGCAUCCAGUUCUCCAACUUCUCUACUCACUCUAUUCCUGAGAAUUAAUCAGGACUCGAGAAUUUCUGUAGCUGUAUGAAAUUUUCUUCUUUAAAGAUUUUAUUUUUCCUUUUUCUCCCCAAAGCCCGCCAGUAUUUAGUUGUGCAUUUUUAGUUGUGGGUUCCUCCAGUUGUGGCAUGUGGGAUGCCGCCUCAGCAUGGCCUGAUGAGCAGUGCCAUGUCGGUGCCCAGGAUUUGAACUGGUGAAACCCUUGGCCGCCAAAGCGGACCACUCGAACUUAACCACUCGGCCACGAGGCCAGCCGGAAAAUACUCUGUCUCUGAGAUCUGGGUCCCUCCACAGCUUGCACUUCUAGGUAAUAAUCCACUUUUUGGAUUUUCUUCACUUUAUCCCUCGGUCAAAAUUUACCCCCUUAACAUUUCACUCUGCCUCCUAAACAUUCCGC